ACUAUCCUUAUCUUGGGGUUGCGCUACUGUUCAAUGAACGUAUAGUGAGAACAGUACUGCUAACACCGGCACAACACAUGCGCGCCCACUGAAGCUUCGGCUUUGUGAUGUGGUGCAAUUUUUGGAACC
ensembl:snRNA U4atac minor spliceosomal RNA